GUCUCAGUUCGGAUUGGAGGCUGAAACCCGCCUCCAUGAAGUUGGAUUCGCUAGUAAUCGCGCAUCAGCCAUGGCGCGGUGAAUACGUUCCCGGGCCUUGUACACACCGCCCGUCAAGCCAUGGGAGCCGGGGGUGCCUGAAGUUCGUGACCGCAAGGAGCGACCUAGGGCAAAACUGGUGACUGGGGCUAAGUCGUAACAAGGUAAC
rnacentral:rRNA from 1 species